GGACGCAAGAAUUUGUUUAUGUUUUCAUUGCUUAAUGUCCGUCAGACAUCCGUACGACAAACCAUGGACCAUUAGGGAUGCCUGCCAGAUGUUCGAUUUUAUUUGUAAUCGGCUGCGUUGCACAGUUGGUGUAAACAUUAG
rnacentral:lncRNA from 1 species